rnacentral:rRNA from 1 species
AAACUAGGAUUAGAUACCCUAUUAUUAAAAUUUAAAUUAUUAUACUAAAAUAGUAGGUAAUUUUUUAUUGAAACUUAAAUAAUUUGGCGGUAUUUUAGUUUAUUUAGAGGAAUCUGUUUAAUAAUUGAUAAUCCACGAAUAAAUUUACUUAAUUUAAAAUUUUGUAUAUCGUUGUUAAAAAAAUAUUUUUUAAUAAAAAUAAUAUUUAAAAAUUUAAAUUUAAAAUUAAAUCAGAUCAAGAUGCAGAUUAUAAUUAAGAAUAUAAUGGAUUACAAUAAAUUUAUUUUAUUUGGAUAUUAAUAUGAAAUAAUUAAUUGAAAUUGGAUUUAAAUGUAAUUUUAUUUAAUUUAAUAAAAUGAUUUUUUAUUAAAAUAUGUACAUAUUGCCCGUCGCUUUCAUUUAUAAAUUGAAAUAAGUCGUAACAUAGUA